rnacentral:rRNA from 1 species
AUGAACGCUAGCUACAGGCUUAACACAUGCAAGUCGAGGGGCAUCAGGGUGUAGCAAUACACCGCUGGCGACCGGCGCACGGGUGAGUAACACGUAUCCAACCUGCCCUUUACUCGGGGAUAGCCUUUCGAAAGAAAGAUUAAUACCCGAUGGCAUAACAUGACCUCCUGGUUUUGUUAUUAAAGAAUUUCGGUAGAGGAUGGGGAUGCGUUCCAUUAGGCAGUUGGCGGGGUAACGGCCCACCAAACCUUCGAUGGAUAGGGGUUCUGAGAGGAAGGUCCCCCACAUUGGAACUGAGACACGGUCCAAACUCCUACGGGAGGCAGCAGUGAGGAAUAUUGGUCAAUGGGCGAGAGCCUGAACCAGCCAAGUAGCGUGAAGGAUGACCGCCCUAUGGGUUGUAAACUUCUUUUAUAUGGGAAUAAAGGGUGCCACGUGUGGCAUUUUGUAUGUACCAUAUGAAUAAGGAUCGGCUAACUCCGUGCCAGCAGCCGCGGUAAUACGGAGGAUCCGAGCGUUAUCCGGAUUUAUUGGGUUUAAAGGGAGCGUAGGUGGACAUGUAAGUCAGUUGUGAAAGUUUGCGGCUCAACCGUAAAAUUGCAGUUGAUACUGCGUGUCUUGAGUACAGUAGAGGUGGGCGGAAUUCGUGGUGUAGCGGUGAAAUGCUUAGAUAUCACGAAGAACUCCGAUUGCGAAGGCAGCUCACUGGACUGCAACUGACACUGAUGCUCGAAAGUGUGGGUAUCAAACAGGAUUAGAUACCCUGGUAGUCCACACAGUAAACGAUGAAUACUCGCUGUUUGCGAUAUACAGUAAGCGGCCAAGCGAAAGCAUUAAGUAUUCCACCUGGGGAGUACGCCGGCAACGGUGAAACUCAAAGGAAUUGACGGGGGUCCGCACAAGCAGUGGAGUAUGUGGUUUAAUUCGAAGCAACGCGAAGAACCUUACCAGGUCUUGACAUCCGUGUAAAGCCGCAGAGAUGCGGUGUGAGCUUGCUCAAUACGAGACAGGUGGUGCAUGGUUGUCGUCAGCUCGUGUCGUGAGAUGUUGGGUUAAGUCCCGCAACGAGCGCAACCCUUAUCAUUAGUUGCUACGCAAGAGCACUCUAAUGAGACUGCCGUUGAUAAAACGGAGGAAGGUGGGGAUGACGUCAAAUCAGCACGGCCCUUACGUCCGGGGCUACACACGUGUUACAAUGGGGGGUACAGAAGGCCGCUACACAGCGAUGUGAUGCCAAUCCCUAAAGCCCCUCUCAGUUCGGAUCGAAGUCUGCAACCCGACUUCGUGAAGCUGGAUUCGCUAGUAAUCGCGCAUCAGCCACGGCGCGGUGAAUACGUUCCCGGGCCUUGUACACACCGCCCGUCAAGCCAUGGGAGCCGGGGGUACCUGAAGUACGUAACCGCAAGGAGCGUCCUAGGGUAAAACUGGUGACUGGGGCU